rnacentral:rRNA from 1 species
GAUGAACGCUGGCGGCGUGCUUAACACAUGCAAGUCGAACGAAGCAUUUAAGACAUAUUACUUCGGUUUGAGGUCUUUUAUGACUGAGUGGCGGACGGGUGAGUAACUCGUGGGUAACCUGCCUCAUACAGGGGGAUAGCAGCUGGAAACGGCUGGUAAUACCGCAUAAGCGCACAGUACCACAUGGUACAGUGUGAAAAACUCCGGUGGUAUGAGAUGGACCCGCGUCUGAUUAGCUUGUUGGCGGGGUAACGGACCACCAAGGCGACGAGCAGUAGCCGACGGGAGAGGGUGCCCGGCGACAUUGGGACUGAGACAAGGCCCAGACUCGUGCGAGAGGCAGCAGAGGGGAAUAUUGCACAAUGGGGGAAACUCUGAUGCAGCGACGCCGGGUGAGUGAAGAAGUAGUUGGAAAUGUAAAGCUCUAUCAGCAGGGAAGAUAGUGAGGGAACCGGACUAAGAGGCUCGGGCAAAUUCGGG